UUGUGAUAGCGAUGAACCUCCAUCAGAAUCAAGAACUUGAUACAGCCAAGACAUCUCUGGAGCUCUGUGUAUUUCUCUGCAUCGUCCUUCUUUCAAUAGGCUGGAGCAUUCUCCGUAAUGAGGAAAGGUGGCUACAUAAUGGGAGGAUGCUUUUCAAACUUAGAGGAAAGAGAAUGUCUCUCUCCCAGAUACAUCCCAAAGAAGAUCCUAGCUAGACUGCAGCAGUUGGGAAGUGGUCUGAGAACUGGCUGGUCCUUUCUCACCCUUGAGUAACCUCAAGGAGAACCUAGAACCUUUGCAAUCUUUUGAAGAUGGUAUCUUCAGAGAGAUGCUAGGGAGACAAGACCCAUCCCUCUGCAGUAGCAUGGACAGCGACAGAGCAGUUGAAGAGCAACUUCACUGAAGCAUUUAUCAGCAAUAACUUCCUCUGUCUUAAACACAUUCUAUUUCAAAGCAUGGGUUUUUUUUUGGGGGGGGGGUGAGGGGUUGUUUUGUUUUUUCUUUGUUUUGUUUUUCAUGAUGAAAAAUAUUAUAUUCAUAGGCUGAAAAGAUAAUUAAGCCAGUAAAGGUGCUUAUUAACUAAACCUGACAACAUGAGUUCAAUCCAAGGGUUUCACAUGAUGGAAGGAGAGAAUAGACUCUGUCAGGCUGUCUUCUGACCUCUGGAUGGGCACCCUGGCUUGCACACAAGCACAUACAUAUACACAGAAUAAAUAAAUGUAAUAAGCAUGUGUAUUCUUUAAUUUGUAACACAUGUCUGGACACUAUUCAAACUUUAGUCAAAAGGUAUAUAAAAAGAGUUGUUCUGACAUUUAUCACAAAAAUAAUGUAUACAUCACAAAUAUUCAACAAUGAAACAUAUGCUAUACAUUUUUUCUUUCUUUCUUUCUUUCUUUCUUCCUUCCUUCCUUCCUUCCUUCCUUCCUUCCUUCCUUCCUUCCUUCCUUCCUUUCUUUCUCCCUUUCUUCCUUUCUUCCUUUCUUCCUUUCUUUCUUCUUCUCUUUUAUGAGACAGGGUUUCUCUAUGUAGUCCUGGCUGUCUUGGAAUGUAGACCAGGCUGUCCUUGAACUCUCAGAGAUCCUCCCAUCUCUGCCUCUUAAGUACUGGGAUUAAAGGCAUGUACCACCACACCCAAUUAUAUAUAUAUGAAUUAUAAUGCAUGCACAAGAAAAAUAAAAAUAGACUCUUUGUCUU
rnacentral:lncRNA from 1 species